UCUGGUUGUGAGUGGAUCCAAGAGUUCACAUGAUGCAGUAUCUUUUUGAAAGAUGAUACAUUAUCUUCAUAAAAGAAAGGAAGUUGGAGGAGUUAUUAUUGAAGAGGGAUUCAGUGGUAUGUGCUUCUCAAGAGCUAAACUGGAACAAGAAGUGCAUGACUCUCAUGCCUACACUAACUAAUCAGACUUCCCGAAGGAGAAGAAGGAGGUGCGGAAAGAGGAUGGGAGCAACAAAUCUGAAUCAAAGAGGGUGAGAAUUACUUAUCGAUGACUCGGGCAUCAACUCUUGAUUUUCGGCGGAAGACACAGGGUCAGAACAACUGGUCUGGGCCGUUGCGCCUAGUAAAUAUCAUCAGAAAUAAAUUCCCUACCUACAAGAAUGGUACGAAUGGGAUAGUCAUCAAAUUUGCUGAUGAGCCAGAAACGCCAUGACUUAAGGAGUCUGUUGCCAAAGAGACAGCAGAUUUGCUUGAUCGGCGUCAGCGUCUUUCAGUCCGCGAGCUCGCAAUGAAAUUUGAGAAGGGCCUCAGUACUGCCACAUUAUUAUCUAAUGAGGUAUGGGUCUUCCUGAUUCCUGAACACUCAUUUAGCAAUUGGUCCAGUUAUUACAGACCUUAAGUUAUUGCAUUGGCUUUAACUCUUAGGUUAAAUUUAAACAAGUGGCUUUAUUGGAGCGAGACAUCCUUCUGAAGAAUCUAAAGAGUGUAUUGGAGUCACUGAGAGGACAAGUAGCUGGCAAAUAUAAGGAUGAAUUUGAGGAAUCAGUAUCUAUGGUGGAUAUUUUAGCAGUUCAGCUGUCCAAAAGAGAAAAUGAGUUGCUUCAGCAGAAAACCGAGGUCACGAGAAUAGCGACUUCACUGACACUGGUGAGUUGAUCCUCGUACUUUGGAAGUAUCUUUAUUCUAUGGACCUUUGUAAGCACAUUUUAGUACCAUGAUCCAUUCUGUGUUCUCUGUUUACAAUG